AAAAAGGGUCUCCAUCUUAUGAUGACUGGUUUACUAUAGACCGGGCGGAAUGGCGAUCAAGACAUUCCGGGGACAUAAUAUUUGGACAUCGGGCAGUCGGCUACAUCUGGCUGACGUCCGU
rnacentral:snRNA from 1 species